rnacentral:rRNA from 1 species
GUAAGGAAUAUUGGACAAUGGACGCAAGUCUGAUCCAGCCAUGCCGCGUGAAGGAUUAAGGUCCUCUGGAUUGUAAACUUCUUUUAUAAGGGACGAAAAAAGGCUUUUCUAAGUCGUCUGACGGUACCUUAUGAAUAAGCACCGGCUAACUCCGUGCCAGCAGCCGCGGUAAUACGGAGGGUGCAAGCGUUAUCCGGCUUCACUGGGGUUAAAGGGUGCGUAGGCGGGCAGGUAAGUCAGUGGUGAAAUCCUAGAGCUUAACUCUAGAACUGCCAUUGAUACUAUCUGUCUUGAAUAUUGUGGAGGUAAGCGGAAUAUGUCAUGUAGCGGUGAAAUGCUUAGAUAUGACAUAGAACACCUAUUGCGAAGGCAGCUUACUACGCAUAUAUUGACGCUGAGGCACGAAAGCGUGGGGAUCAAACAGGAUUAGAUACCCCUGUAGUCC